rnacentral:tRNA from 1 species
AGGAGUAAAGUAAUUUAUUUACGUUUUAGUUACAUUAAAAAGGACCUAUAUAAGGUGCUCCUA